rnacentral:rRNA from 1 species
AUUGAACGCUGGCGGCAGGCCUAACACAUGCAAGUCGAACGAGUGGCGGACGGGUGCGUAAUGUCUGGGAAACUGCCUGAUGGCGGGGGAUAACUACUGGAAACGGUAGCUAAUACCGCAUACCAUCAGAUGUGCCCAGAUGGGAUUAGCUAGUUGGUGGGGUAACGGCUCACCAAGGCGACGCUCCCUAGCUGGUCUGAGCGGAUGACCAGCCACACUGGAACUGAGCCACGGUCCAGACGCCGACGUGAGGCAGCAGGGGGGAAUAUUGCACAAUGGGAGCAAGCCGGAGGCAGCCAUGCCGCGUGGAUGAAGAAGGCCUUCGGGUUGUAAAGUACUUUCAGCGGGGAGGCGUUACCCGCAGAAGAAGCACCGGCUAACUCCGUGCCAGCAGCAGCGGUAAUAC